rnacentral:rRNA from 1 species
AUUGAACGCUGGCGGCAGGCCUAACACAUGCAAGUCGAGCGGCAGCGGGAAGUAGCUUGCUACUUUGCCGGCGAGCGGCGGACGGGUGAGUAAUGUCUGGGAAACUGCCUGAUGGAGGGGGAUAACUACUGGAAACGGUAGCUAAUACCGCAUAACGUCGCAAGACCAAAGAGGGGGACCUUCGGGCCUCUUGCCAUCAGAUGUGCCCAGAUGGGAUUAGCUAGUAGGUGGGGUAACGGCUCACCUAGGAGACGAUCCCUAGCUGGUAUGCGAGGAUGACCAGCCACACGGGAACUAAGACACGGGCCAGGCUCAUACGGGAGGCAGCAGUGGGGAAUAUUGCAACAUGGGAGAAAGCCUGAUGCAGCCAUGCGGCGUGUAUGAAGAAGGCCUUCGGGUUGUAAAGUACUUUCAGCGGGGAGGAAGGUGUUGAGGUUAAUAACCUCAGCAAUUGACGUUACCCGCAGAAGAAGCACCGGCUAACACCGUGCCAGCCGCCGCCGUAACAC